CCCCGGGAAACUGGGGCUAAUUCUCGAUAGGUGAAGAACUCUGGAAUGAGUCUUUGCCAAAAAGACGUUUACGUUAUGCUCGUAGGCGUCGCCCAAGGAUGAGGCCGCGACCGAUCAGGUUGUUGGUGAGGUAAUGGCUCACCAAGCCUUUUACCGGUGCGGGCCGUGAGAGCGGGAGCCCGGAGAUGGGCACUGAGACAAGGGCCCAGGCCCUACGGGGCGCAGCAGUCGCGAAGACUUUGCAAUACACGAAAGUGUGACAGGGCUAUCCCGAGUGCCAUCCGCUGAGGAAGGCUUUUACCCAGUCUAGAACGCUGGGGGAAUAAGGAGAGGGCAAGUCUGGUGUCAGCCGCCGCGGUAAUACCAGCUCUCCGAGUGGUGUGGAUGUUUAUUGGGCCUAAAGCAUCCGUAGCUGGCUGAGUUAGUCCCUUGUUAAAUCCACCGAAUUAAUCGUUGGAUUGCGGGGGAUACUGCUCGGCUAGGGGACGAGAGAGGCAGACGGUAUUUCUGGGGUAGGGGUGAAAUCCUAUAAUCCCAGGAGGACCACCAGUGGCGAAGGCUGUCUGCUAGAACGCGCCCGACGGUGAGGGAUGAAAGCUGGGGGAGCGAACCGGAUUAGAUACCCGGGUAGUCCCAGCUGUAAACGAUGCAGACUAGGUGUUUGGACGGCCACGUGCCGUUCUAGUGCCGCAGGGAAGCUGUUAAGUCUGCCGCCUGGGGAGUACGAUCGCAAGAUUGAAACUUAA
rnacentral:rRNA from 1 species